rnacentral:lncRNA from 1 species
GGGUUCUAGAUUUAAUUUUCCUCGUUCUUGAGGGGUUUCUUUGUGUUAACCUUAAAUUCUCACAAUUUUCAAGAAAAACAUUACUCUAAUGUUGUACUCCUGGGCCGACCUCAAGCUCUUCUCUGUUUUUUCGAUUUUUUGAAAAAUUGUGGACUUAAUUUUCUGUAAAAAUGAUUUUCAUUUGUGGUUCUUGAUUAUAAUUUCAGUUUUAAAGUAUUACUGGAUUCAGGUUUAUAUUUACGGUGGUAAAGAUCAGCACCUAGUGGUGUUCUCACGGGAAGUGCAUUUAUUUGAACUGCAUAUUUGCAAAUACAUUUUUAACCCUAUUUUUACCUGUUCUGUUAUGGAUGUGUGGAAUGUUUACAAAACAGAAACAAUUUUAGUUUUGGGAAUAUUGGGGGAACGGGAAUAGUGGAAGAAAUUACAGUAUAAUCGAAAAUGAAAUCUCAAUCUGAGGAUUAUUUUGGUUUUAAAUGUUUGAUCCUAAGUAAAUAAAGUUUUAAUUUUAA